GACGAACGCUGGCGGCGUGCUUAACACAUGCAAGUCGAACGGAAAGGCCCUGCUUUUGUGGGGUGCUCGAGUGGCGAACGGGUGAGUAACACGUGAGUAACCUGCCCUUGACUUUGGGAUAACUUCAGGAAACUGGGGCUAAUACCGGAUAGGAGCUCCUGCUGCAUGGUGGGGGUUGGAAAGUUUCGGCGGUUGGGGAUGGACUCGCGGCUUAUCAGCUUGUUGGUGGGGUAGUGGCUUACCAAGGCUUUGACGGGUAGCCGGCCUGAGAGGGUGACCGGCCACAUUGGGACUGAGAUACGGCCCAGACUCCUACGGGAGGCAGCAGUGGGGAUUAUUGCACAAUGGGCGGAAGCCUGAUGCAGCAACGCCGCGUGCUGGAUGACGGCCUUCGGGUUGUAAACCGCUUUCGCCUGUGACGAAGCGUGAGUGACGGUAAUGUGUAAAGAAGCACCGGCUAACUACGUG
rnacentral:rRNA from 1 species